rnacentral:lncRNA from 12 species
AGCUCUCCCGGUGUCCCCGGGGAUCAGGCAAGAUGCGUCAGCUCCCUUUUGCAAACGAGGAAACGGGGAGUCUGAGCUUGGAGGCAACCUGCCCCUCGAUCCCAGGGCAGCAAGUCAAAGGAGCAUGACCUGAACCCAGUGCUUUCCAUGUCGUUGCACAUUCCCCACCCUCCCUGCAUUACACCUGUGGGGUUAUCAUCACCAGCAGCCACAGCCGACUCCCACCAGUGCUCCUGGAACCUGAGACCCCAUGCCAGGCUGUGUGGGGUGGUUCUAAGAACAGAAACACCAACCCUGAGGAAGAGGACAGUCAAUGUACUAGGAUCCUAGUGGGUCAUGAGGACACCAGGGAAAUCCGGACUUUGACAUUCAAAAUGUAUCUCCAGGGCCGCCUGGGGGGCUCAGUGGUUGAGCACCUGCCUUCAGCCCAGGGCGUGACCCCGGGGUCCCAGGAUCGAGUCCUGCAUUGGGCUCCCCGCAUGGAGCCUGCUUCUCCUCCCUCUGCCUCUGUCUCUGCCUCUCUCUGUGCAUCUUUCAUGAAUAAAUAAAUAAAAUCUUAAAAAAAAAAAACCCUGUAUCUCCAAACCAUUAUCCACUCCAGGACGAGGCAGAGGAAAACAAU